rnacentral:sRNA from 1 species
GGGGUUGCGAACUCGGCGAUGGAUCAGUGACCCGCCGUGGUGAAGCCUGCAGAUUCUACCUAUAAGGUAUAUCGCCCCACCCCUCUUCCUCGGAUUUACUAGUAGCUGAAUUGUUGUUGACUGGUGAAUGAUAAUCGAGCGGAAGCUGUUCAGGAUUUUGCACUGCUGCUUGUUAUGCUCUGUGUGGCCCUCUAGUAAUGUGG